rnacentral:miRNA from 1 species
UUUUACUUGAAUCAAAGGCAG